UUUAUUAUUUUCUAAAUCUUGUAUUAGAAGUUGGACCUUUCGAAAGUCUUAAUUAAUUAAUUGAAUACACCAUCUUCAUAAGAGCUAGGCAUGCUUCUGGUGCCUAUUUGUGCCCCAAGAAGGGGUCGACGGCGGAGACUGGUGGGAAGUCAUCUUCUUUGCACGCACACCAAGUAUCUUUGCAAAUGCAAGUUUCGCAUUGUCCACAAACGCUGAUGCUGCAGUCUGUAUCCUCCUUGCAUCGAAAUGAAAUUACACGGAACCUCCCUUCAGCUACCAUCUCAUCUGAAUCUGCACAUCAUUUUCAACAUGCAUCAAUUAAUUCAAUCACUAUUAAAUAUGCAUGCAUAAAUGUGAUAUGUCACCUUUUAAAGUUAAUAGGAAUGAACAUAAAUGGAUAGGAGAGACUUACAGUAUGCAAAAACCACGAGGAUGACCAUGAGAGCCAAUUUGAGUGAAGAUUUCUCCAUAUAUUUUUUUAUAUAUGCACUAGGAAUUUAUUGGAAAAAGAAUUUUAUAGGUGAAGCUGUUCGACUGUUUACCAAGAACUUGACUUACAUAGAUUUUAAUUACAUGAGAUUUUUGCAUUAAAUGCUAUCUUAUCUUCAACACGUGGUAUGGUUGUAGAAAAGGAAAUCAAGUACAGCACCUAUGCUAUGUAGGGGUGUCAAAAAAGUCCGUCCGGACUGGACCCGGUCAAUUCGGUCCGAGCAAAACCCGGACCGCAUACACAUAAAAAUCGGAUUCGGAUUUGAAAUUCUCAAACCCAGACAUUUUUGAGC
rnacentral:lncRNA from 1 species